GCCCAUGAAUUCUUCCUCAUCAAUAACUGUCCUGUCUGUGAGUUCUUCAUGUGACUGUCCUUGUCUCACUCGUCUUCGCUACUAGUCCAGGGACGGAAUUAGCAUGGAUGGAUCAGGGGGCAGAAAAAUCAAUUCAUAGAUCAGACGCUGGAAUAUGUAGUUUUACCUUUCGCUAUCAACCACCCAGCCCUUGAAAUCAUCCUGUGUUCGCCUUUUUGUGUGCUUGAUAGUAUUCUUGAUUUCUCUGGUCUUUUGAUUCCGCCAUGCUGCUAGCUAGGGUUCUUGUUUCACUUCGAUACCCAUAUCUGGUCCUCUUCGCUGAUUUCUCAGUCAGUCUUCAUUUUGUAAUCAC
rnacentral:lncRNA from 1 species